CGAGCUGACGGAGCACGCCGCGUGAGGGAUGAAGGCCUUUGGGCUGUAAACCUCUUUUCUCAAGGAAGAAGACCUGACGGUACUUGAGGAAUAAGCCACGGCUAAUUCCGUGCCAGCAGCCGCGGUAAUACGGGAGUGGCAAGCGUUAUCCGGAAUUAUUGGGCGUAAAGCGUCCGCAGGCGGCCGUUUAAGUCUGUUGUUAAAUCGUGGAGCUCAACUCCAUCACGGCAAUGGAAACUGUUCGGCUUGAGUAUGGUAGGGGCAGAGGGAAUUUCCGGUGUAGCGGUGAAAUGCGUAGAUAUCGGGAAGAACACCAGUGGCGAAAGCGCUCUGCUGGACCAUUACUGACGCUCAUGGACGAAAGCCAGGGGAGCGAAAGGGAUUAGAUACCCCUGUAGUCCUGGCCGUAAACGAUGAACACUAGAUGUUGGGGGAAUCGACCCCCUCGGUGUCGUAGCUAACGCGUUAAGUGUUCCGCCUGGGGAGUACGCACGCAAGUGUGAAACUCAAAG
rnacentral:rRNA from 1 species